rnacentral:lncRNA from 1 species
GUGAACAGUAACAUGACACAUUAAAUAUUACAAAAUUAGCUUUUCUCCCACCCCUUUGCAAGGCCCAGAAGUCCAAAAGCUUUGUGGUUGCAUUGCUGAAUGAAACUAGGGAAAUAACACCAUUAUCAAUUAGUCAGCCCUUAGCACUUAGGACUUUAUUAUAUGAAGAAUAAGAAAUAUUCAAUCGAGGUUAUGCUCAGUAAGGAGGAAUUGAAAAGGCAGGAACUAACUGAAAUACAAUGAUCAGAAUGUGUUUUUUUUUAACCUCAAACUGUUUGAAUGUUGUGUGUAACACACAGCACUUCCUAUUUUAAUUGACUGUUUCUUUGCCCAUAGGGGAAUUUUUCUUUUACCAGAGAGGCCCAAGGGAUGGGAAGCAAAAGGUUUGUUUUUGCAAGAAGUUGCUUGUUUUCUGUCAAAGCUCCACAAAGGAUGGUGAUUACCCCAGCACUGGUGGGGAAGGCAGUGUGGCAGGGCUGUGUCCUUCCUGGAAGUGCUUUGGGAUACCCUGGGCAGGGAGCACACUGCUCUGACCCCUGA